AAAGUUUGGGUACGGUUUGUGGCCAUUCCUGCUCUUCCUUGCAGUCCUGAUGCUUCUGCUUGCAGUGCUUUUGAAGUACCUGAACCAAGUGAGAAGUAUAAACAAGAGAAAACCAUACUAGGAAUUCUAAGCAGAUGUUGGGGAAAGGAGAGAGAGACCUUUGGAAAUCAGUGAUUGAGAGCCAUCCAGUGCAAUCCAGUUUAUAUGGUGUAAGGCUUGAGCAAUACACUAUGUCCCCUGAUGGGACAUAGGUUCUAGCCUCGUGUUCUAUUACGUGAUGAUAGGCAAAUUGCUAGACCUUUGUGAGCCAAUUUCCUCAUUUAUAAAGUGGGUACGAUAAAACCUAUGGCCUGAAUAUCUCACAAGAUUGUUGUAAGGAACAGAUAAUAUACAUAAUGCACUAGAUAAAGGGUUACCUAUUGUUUAGGAUCCUUCUUGGUAGGGACAACCAAGUUAAUAUUCAUCAUUGAACAAAUCUUUAGUUACCAGUCUAUAAAACCUUUUCCCAUCCUGCAGUUGUGUUCUUCUUGGGCCGCUUUUGAUCUUUAUCUGUCCUUAAUAUUGCUAUCUGACCUACUAAUUUAGCUUAAGGACCCUUGUCAUCCUCCCUGCUUCAGCAGUCUUUGGACUACCAGGCCUUUCUAUUUACAGAGGCUUUCCAUUUUUAUCACCAGUGCUUGACACAUAGGAAGUGCUUUAAAAAGCUUUUUAAUUAAUUCAUUCACUUCUCAUGUGAACAAAUUCAAUGAAACCCAGUUACGUGAUCAAUAGGACCUCAUACUGACAUCAUGAAACAUUGAUAUGAUGUUGGUCACUCACAGAUCACCUCCGCGGCCUACCUCAAGCCCAGUCAGUGAGCCCCCCACCAUUUGCUCCACUUGAUCCUGGGUCCUUCUCCCAUCUUCUAGCUUCUCAGCCCAUUCUGCAUCUCAUGAUGGGAUUACCAAAGCUUCCACUCAUAACAUUAUUUCCAAGGCUUCAACUGCUUCUUUUAAGGUUGUGCCACCUAAAAUUGUUGUUUUCCCUGAUAGAAUUUGUGCUCUAACCCCCUUUCAAUUUUUGGUAACUGAGGAUUCAAGAAAGCACGUUGUGUUAAUGUCUUAAAUACAUAGACACACAAAACAAGCCACCUUCUCCCCCACCAGAGCUUCUUACAAGAGGGUCUGCAUCCUUCCUUACAGUGUAGGGGAAUUGUCAAGAAAGCCCUGUAGGGGCAAUUAUAGGAACCAUCUUAGAGAUUGAUGUGUUGUCUGAUUCUGAGCAAGUCAUUGAAUUUCUCUGAGCCUCAAUUUUCUCAUCUGUAAAAUGGAAAUAACAUCAGUAUUGUAAUACUUACCUCAUAGGGCGUUGUGAGAAUCAAAUAAAAUAAAGUGUUUUGAAAAACCUC